UACAUAGGUCUCAAGCGUUGUUCGGAUUUAUUGGGCGUAAAGGGUGCGUAGGCGGCUCGGUAAGUCGGGUGUGAAAUCUUGGAGCUUAACUCCGAAACUGCAUUCGAUACUGCCGUGCUUGAGGACUGGAGAGGAGACUGGAAUUUACGGUGUAGCGGUGAAAUGCGUAGAUAUCGUAAGGAAGACCAGUGGCGAAGGCGGGUCUCUGGACAGUUCCUGACGCUGAGGCACGAAGGUCAGGGGAGCAAACGGG
rnacentral:rRNA from 1 species